rnacentral:rRNA from 1 species
AUUGAACGCUGGCGGCAGGCUUAACACAUGCAAGUCGAGCGAGCGGCGGGCGGGUGAGAAAAGUAUGGGGAAUGCCCGAUAGAGGGGGGUAACAACAGGAAACGGCAGCUAAUAACGCAUACUAUCGGAUAAACCUUAUGGGAUUAGCUAGUAGGUGAGGGAAUGGCUCACCUAGGCGACGAUCCCGAGCUGGUCUGAGAGGAUGAUCGGCCACCCUGGAACUGGGACACGGCCCAGAUUCCUACGGAGGAAGCAGUGGGGAACAUUGGACAAGGGGGGCAAGCCUGCUGCGGCCCUGCCGCUGGUAUGAAGAAGGCCCUAGGUUUGUAAAGUACUUUCAGUCGGGAGGCGUUACCGACAUAGGAAGCACCGGCUAACUCCGUGCCAGCAGCCGCGGUAAUAC